UAUUAGGAAAUUAAACAGUAACCUUGAAAGACCCCCGAAGGGAGACCCUCACUCAAGUUUCGGGAUAAUAGUGGACCCCCCAAGAACUCACAAGAGA
rnacentral:pre_miRNA from 7 species